AACGCGAAGAACCUUACCUGGUCUUGACAUCCAUGGAACCCUGCAGAGAUGCGGGGGUGCCGUAAGGAACCAUGAGACAGGUGCUGCAUGGCUGUCGUCAGCUCGUGUCGCGAGAUGUUGGGUUAAGUCCCGCAACGAGCGCAACCCUUGUCCUUAGUUGCCAUCAUUAAGUUGGGAACUCUAAGGAGACCGCCGGUGACAAACCGGAGGAAGGUGGGGAUGACGUCAAGUCAUCAUGGCCUUUAUGACCAGGGCUACACACGUGCUACAAUGGCAGAUACAGAGGGAAGCCAACUCGCGAGAGGGGGCUAAUCCCAGAAAAUCUGUCGUAGUCCGGAUUGGAGUCUGCAACUCGACUCCAUGAAGUCGGAAUCGCUAGUAAUCGCAGAUCAGCAUUGCUGCGGUGAAUACGUUCCCGGGUCUUGUACACACCG
rnacentral:rRNA from 1 species